ACCUUCAUGGUGUAAUAGUCAGCACACUCGACCCGUAUUCGAGAGGUCCCCGGUUCGAGUCUCGGUGAGGGCA
rnacentral:tRNA from 1 species